AAUGAACGCUGGCGGCGUGCCUAACACAUGCAAGUCGAACGAGGCGGAAGGGGCGAACUCCUUCCAGUCGAGUGGCGGACGGGUGAGUAACACGUGGGUAACCUGCCCGGAAGUGGGAGUACCUCGGGAACUCGAGCUAAUACCGCAUGACAUCUUCGGGACGAAAGUCCUGACGAUCAAAGACGGGGUCGCAAGAUCUCGCGCUACCGGAUGGGCCCGCGCCCGAUUAGCUAGUUGGUGAGGUAACGGCUCACCAAGGCUUCGAUCGGUAACCGGCCUGAGAGGGCGAUCGGUCACACCGGAACUGAGACACGGUCCGGACUCCUACGGGAGGCAGCAGUGGGGAAUCUUGCGCAAUGGGCGAAAGCCUGACGCAGCAACGCCGCGUGGAGGAUGAAGGCCCUUGGGUUGUAAACUCCUGUCGGCU
rnacentral:rRNA from 1 species